rnacentral:rRNA from 1 species
AUGAACGCUGGCGGCGUGCCUCAUACAUGCACGUCGAGCGAACAGACGAGGAGCUUGCUCCUUUGACGUUAGCGGCGGACGGGUGAGUAACACGUGGAUAACCUACCUAUAAGACUGGGAUAACUUCGGGAAACCGGAGCUAAUACCGGAUAACAUGUUGAACCGCAUGGUUCAACAGUGAAAGACGGUCUUGCUGUCACUUAUAGAUGGAUCCGCGCCGCAUUAGCUAGUUGGUAAGGUAACGGCUUACCAAGGCAACGAUGCGUAGCCGACCUGAGAGGGUGAUCGGCCACACUGGAACUGAGACACGGUCCAGACUCCUACGGGAGGCAGCAGUAGGGAAUCUUCCGCAAUGGGCGAAAGCCUGACGGAGCAACGCCGCGUGAGUGAAGAAGGUCUUCGGAUCGUAAAACUCUGUUAUUAGGGAAGAACAAAUGUGUAAGUAACUAUGCACGUCUUGACGGUACCUAAUCAGAAAGCCACGGCUAACUACGUG